CCUCGGCCUGGGGGGCGGGGAGUUGCAGCUGCCGAACUCUGGCCGUGGGGAGAGCGCGCGACCCCUCCCGCCCCACCAUCUAGGAACACGGCGGGCGGAGCGGAUCUUGACUUGCUGGGGGGGCGGAUGGAGGGGAGGGAGCUCAAGGGUACACAGUACCGGCACCUUUUUUCAAAUGUUAAAAGCGUGACACCUACUGUAACAACUUCAUGGUGAGUAUGGGCACCUUUAUAUAUAUAUAAAGCACUAAGGCUUUCGACAAAGUCCCCCAUGAUAUUCUUGGAAGGAAGCUGGUAAAAUGUGGGUUGAAGGAGGUAACCGUUAGGUGGAUUUGUAGCUGGCUGGAGCCCAAAGAGGACUCCUUAAUGGAUCUUCGUCAUCCUGGAAAAAGUGACAAGGGGGGUGUCACAGGGUUCUGUCCUGGGCCCGUUGUCCUUCAACAUGUAUAAAUGACUUGGAUGAAGGAAUUGAGGGGGUGCUCAUCCAAUUUGCAGAUGGCACCAAACUGGGAGGGGUGGCCAGUGCCACAGAAGACAGAAGCAAGAUUCAAAAUGAGCACAACAGCUUGGAGAAUUUGGCACAAGCUAACAAAAUGAAUUUCAAUAGGGACAAUGUAAGGUUCUGCACUUAAGCAGGAAGAACCAGAUGCACACAUAUAAGAUGAGGAACAUCUGGCUUACCAGUAGGACAUGUGAAAAAGAUCCAGGGGUCUUAGGACCACAAGCUUAACAUGAGUCAACAGUGUGAUGCAGCAGCAGAAAAAGCAAAUGCUAUUCUAGGCUGCAUCAACAGAAGUCUAGUGUCCAGAUCAAGGGAAGUCAUAGUCCCACUCUCUUCUGCCUUGGUCAGGCCACACCUGGAAUAGUGUGUCCAAUUCUGGUCACCACAAUUUAAGGCGGAUGUUGACAAGCUGGAACGUCUAGAAACCAAUCCUUAUGAGGAACAGUUGAAGGAGCUGGGUAUGUUUAGCUUGGAAAAGAGGAGACUGAGAGGAGAUAUGAGAGACAUCUUCAAAUCUCUAAAGGUUGUCAAAAGGAAGAUGAAGCAAGCUUGUUUUCCUGCUCCGCAGGGCAGGACUCAACCGGCUAUAGACUGACAGUACACCAGGAGGAACCUUCUGAGAGCAAGAGCUGUUAACACAAUGAAAUGGACUCUCUGAUGAAUUCUUUAGCUGUUUUAUUCUGCAUUGCAAGAGGUUGGGCUAGAUGACACUUGGGGUCCCUUCCAACUCUACAAUGCUGUGAAAUUUAAGGUGUAUUUAUUUUGCAGCAAUGUGCAUCACUGUACACUUAUUUUCACUGAGCUGCAAUUGCCCUUUUACUGCUUAUUCAGCCGCCUGAGGAAUCCUCACAAUGCCUUUUGGGGUGACACCUCAUUGGGCGUCAACAUAAAACCUUUCCCCCGCUCUUCUCGCCUCCAACUUCCUGGAUCCUAGAAUCAUAGAAUCAUAGAAUCAUAGAGUUGGAAGAGACCACAAGGGCCAUCGAGUCCAACCCCCUGCCAAGCAGGAAACACCAUCAGAGCACUCCUGACAUA